AAGGUACUGAAGUAGAGUUCUGGCUGUUCCUUACGGACAUCUCUGGUGAAUAAUCUGAGAAGGCCUCACUUAUAAUUUGGCUUGAAGAAAACACGAGAGCAAGUCAUGCAAUGUUCAAGUAAGAGUGCAGCAGUCAGAAGAAAAAGCUAUGCAAGGGCCCUAAGGUUGAAAGUGUUCUUAGUGUCUUUGAGAAACAUCAAGGAAUGUGCAAAAGGCAGAAUGAUAGAAGAUGAGAUCAGAGAGGGGAAGUAAAUUCAACAACAGAAAUUGAGGAUGAGGAACAUGGUGUUGCAGUUCAAACCAGUUCCAGCCAAAAUGGACUCUAGUCACAAACAAAUAGUAAUAACAAUCCAAACUUGUGGCUGAAUAGAGUUCUGAAGUUUUGAGAAAGAGGUGAUUCAGCUCAAAAGUUUUGUUUAGAAUCUACUUCCUAGUACCCACCAGCUUAGGCUGAGUUUCCCAGAAUCAGAUCUGUGUUGGAGAUUUGUGUGUAUGAUGUUUAUUGGGGAGCUUCCCCAGAAACAACACCUUUAAGUACAGGAAACAAUUGAACAGGGACAAAAAUCCUACAGUGAUAAAAUUAUAACAGAAGUCGUAGGUAAUCCUUUGGGGCUCUCUGGAGCUAAAACAGCUUUUCCAAAUUGUCUAUAAAUUGAUGCAAGAGGAACACAUCUUCAUACUUCACGUUAAACAGUCACUGGGCACAGGCUACCCUAGGAGAAAGCUUGUAAACUUGGAUGAAGUAGGUUCCUUUGACAGAAAGCAAUUCCAGAAGAGAGAUGUACCUAUGAGAUAACAGUAGCCAGCACUCCCAGAAGCUCACAAGUGACUGCCUUUGUCCUGACAGAGGUAUCUGAACAGUGCACUAUGCCAUCCACUACAACCCAUUUCUACGUUUAUCUGUUUAUUUUAAGACAAUAAUUAGAAUAAGCUCCAAGAGAACAGAGACCUUGUCUAUCUCAUACAUUGAUAUCCCCAGAAUUUACAACAGCUCAGUAUUUACUCAAUAAGUAUUUGUUGACUAAGUGAUUGAACUGAAUGAGUAAUUAAAGUAUAUUUAUAGGUGCCACAUUUUGUAAACUAUCACUUGGCAUAUCACAGAGAAUACUAAUAAAUGAAAACACAGAUUGGGAA
rnacentral:lncRNA from 1 species